rnacentral:rRNA from 1 species
AGCGAACGCUGGCGGCAGGCCUAACACAUGCAAGUCGAACGAACCUUUCGGGGUUAGUGGCGGACGGGUGAGUCACACGUGGGAACGUGCCUUUAGGUUCGGAAUAACUCAGGGAAACUUGUGCUAAUACCGAAUGUGCCCUUCGGGGGAAAGAUUAAUCGCCUUUAGAGCGGCCCGCGUCUGUUUAGCUAGUUGGUUGAGGUAAUGGCUCACCAAGGCGACGAUCAGUAGCUGGUCUGAGAGGAUGAUCAGCCACAUUGGUACUGAGACACGGCCCAAACUCCUACGGGAGGCAGCAGUGGGGAAUCUUGCGCAAUGGGCGAAAGGCUGACGCAGCCAUGCCGCGUGAAUGAUGAAGGUCUUAGGAUUGUAAAAUUCUUUCACCGGGGACGAUAAUGACGGUACCCGGAGAAGAAGCCCCGGCUAACUUCGUG